GCUGUUUUGGAGCAGGACCUGCUCUUAUGCGCAACCGGUGUCCGUGGCUGCAGUUGCCAGCUUGGGAAUGCAUCGUGUGCGUGUGGCUGGGAGAGAAGAGCGGGGAAAUGAGGACAACAGAAAUACUCCCGCUUGGCAGGUGGUGGGGCUUGAUAAAAUAGAGACCGGUUUGUGGGCAGCUGUAAAGUGCUGAGUUAUUCUUGGGUUGCUUGUGUGCACGCUGAGCUUUCAAUACUUUACUGUGUGUUUUUCUCCUCUUCAGACAGUCAAAAGUAGAGCUGGCAAGGACACCCCCAGAACUGGGAGUAAGGAAUAAGGAGCUGGUAUGCUCAGCUUAAUAGAAUAGGCAAAAUCUAUAGUAGUUAAACUUGUCUGGUUUUGCUGCGAACUGUCUGCAGAGCUCUUCAUUUGUAUAAGAAAGCAAAAAAGCUGGCAGGCAGUGUUGGGAGUCCGAGGCGCUGUGAGUUAAUGAGCUCUCCUGCAGCAGCCUGAUGGCACGCACAUUUCGGACUGGCUUGUCCUUUAAGGGAAAAAACUGCGGAGCAGUGGGCAGCCGAAGGGAAUCGGCCGCCGUGUUCUGCUUUGUUGCUUGUUUGGAUGUCGGCGGCGUUGGUGUCCUGGGAACCGUGCUGGGGGCUGCCCUGCCAGCUCUCCCUGCUGCAAACAACUUUUAGGACUCUUGAUUACUUAAGCGUAUGCUGCUCUGCUUUUGAAAGAAUUACAUCACAUUACCUUUUGUAGCUGAUAUGAGGAAUGAGAAACUAGAUGAGUUCCUCAUGGCCCUGCUCUUCUACCUACCUUUUCACCUGGGAAAAAUUGCCCUAGAAAUACCCAGAAAAGGAAUGCAGAUCCUUGGUUUUG